UGCUACAUGAGGAUAUGGAAGAAGAAUCAUGUUUUCCUCCAUAUUAGAGAGGCAUUGCUUCCCUUUUAUAUCUAGGUAGAAUCACACUGAAUACCAUCACUCAUGCCAACACCCACCGCCACCCACACUGAGGCAGUCGUGUGUGUGACUCCUGCCCUGGGGUGUUUACAGAGUAACUGGGUUUCACCGUUGCUUUCCAUCCUGUAAGGUGCCCAAGUUGGCUAGAAGAGGGUACUGGGUCCCUUGGAGCUGGAGUUAUAGGCAGUUGUGAGCUGCCUAAUGUAGGUGCUAGGAAUUGAACUCUGGUCCUUUGGUAGAAUGAGCGGAGGAGGGCAUCGAUCCCCCGGAACUGGAGUUGUGAGCAGCCAUGUGAAUGCUGAGAAUCCAGCUUGGGUCUUCUGAAGGAACAAGUGCUCUUAAUGGCUGAUUUGCCUCUUAACAUCAAAACAAAGGGCUAGCCUGUGACUCCGCCUCCAGGUGAUCUAACGCCCUCUUCUGUCUUCCUUGGAUACCUACUCACACCUAACAUAUGCAGACACACACUCACAAGUAAAUAAAUAAAAUUUUAACAAAAAAAUCAAAAUACAGGGGCUGGAGAGAUGGCCCAGUGGUUACAAGCACUUUUUGCUCUUGCAGAGGACCCAGGUUCAGAUCCCAGUGCCCACAUGUGGCUCAAAACCACCUGUAACUUCAGCUUCGGGGGAUCCAAUGUCCUUGUCUAGCCUCCUUGGGCACCAGGCACACAUGUGGUGUGCACAUGUACAUGCAGGCAAAACACCCACACACAUAAAAUAAUAACAUAAAAAAAUUAAAAAUCAAAAUACAGAUGUUGAGGAGACAAGGGGUUAUUUUUUAAUCCACAUUAACUGUUAUCAGGUGGUAACGUGAGAGGAAUCAGGGUACAGACAUGGUUUAAAACAGAGCUCCAGACUUCCUUUGCUGGAUACAAUGGUGUGAUUUGUGGAAAAUGCAUGCUCCCAUGAAAACGGAUUGAAAAGGAAAUCAGAUUUUCAAAAAUUAGUCUUUAUGGUAUCUUCAGAGAGAUACCUAGCUAACUAGGAUCUGAGUGGGCAGAGCAUGAGAAGGAAAGGAACCGGAGUGCUGAGCCAAAAUUCUUUAUCUGAUUUCUGCCUGCAAGCAUCUGGCUGUUGAUACGAAGGCUGCUCAACUCCCAUUCUAAGGAGAUGUGGCUGCUGAGCAACUGGAGAAGAGAGCCAAUAAGUGGAGAGAGUGGACUGUGAAAGGCGAGGCUCCAGG